GUUUGUCAUUUGUCCGAACCUGUUUGGCUGUUUCAGUGUUUCGAGAACGUCAUAUGAAUGAUACCAUGAUACAUUCCUAAAGGCAUCUUGAAAAUAAAAUGGAUGGCCAAACUCCUGAAUCAGAUUCUAGGUGUCUUGGUUCCCUUCUAUGAUUUGGAGUGGGGCGAUCCUGCAUGGAAAACUAAACAUGCAAAUCCAAACAACUCGGUAGGCUAAAUCAUUCAGUCAAAAGCGCUCGUUGUCCUUCCUUGCCGUAACGAUCAUCUACCGCUAUCUACAGGGAUGUACCUUGAGCCAAAGCGCACAAUAAUCAUUUCUCAUCGCGGGCCGUUGCUGUUCGCUCCCACCGCGACUAAUUAAACAUGACAUUCAAAUACAAUUCCGUAAAAAUCACGGCGUCAACCUGAUUGUGAGACAUAAGUUUAAAAUCGGAUUUUACCACGAACUUAUAAGCAGUAUGUUACAAUGGCGCAUUUGUUAGAGCUUCGUAUUAUAGAUGCCAAUGUCACUGAAGUGAAGAUUGCAUAGGCUACAUCGGUUUCAAAGUCUGGCGGCUCUCGUUCUUGCCUAAUCUUCCUAGCGAAGCUAUCGCCCAUUUCAGGAGUCAUGCCCAUGGACUUUUUUUGGGCUGUGAAUUGGGAGGAUUGGAACCCUUUGAGGAAAUUCGAACACCACGCCUGGUUGGGUGCCCAGUAUAAUUAAAAUAACGCUUUUCUUUUUCAAAAAUGAUUUUUCAUUAUAUUUAUGAAUUCUUUUGUUUAGAUUUUUGACGGUCGGCAUUUUAUUUGAGGAUGAUGCAUGCGAGUGAGUUAUAGUACUUCCGGCAAUCCAGACUCAACAUCCUGGCUUCUUCUACCAACAGUCUGCGCAUUCUAUUCUAAGGAAUAAGGCUUGCUACCAAGAUUGCGAUGCUUUUCGAAGAAACUGUCAUUAGUAACUUGACUCAAUUUCAUUCGGCGAAUCGUCACAACUGGACUUCUGCGGGCAAAGACCCUGGCGACUGGACCGGCUGGAAGUCGGGCGGCCUAGUCGGGUGAACCUUACCAGCUGAUAAUAUGAAAGCUGAGGACGACUCGAGAUUGCUCGAGAUUGCUACAAUGUUAGUCCGCGAACGACAUCAAGUUGAUCUCACGUGGUGCAAUCGCAAUAUAAUGGCGGAAUAUUGCCGGUUGGAAAACUUUCCGGAAGCCCUUACGUAAUCAAAAUACACCUCAACUUUUAUUUUAAUUUAUUCUAAAUGGAAACUUACUUUUUGUUUAACUUUCUCGAAUCUUUGCUCUGGGAUUGCCGCAAAGAGUUUUGGUGGAUAAUACUGACAUCUUUACUCCAGUUGGGUUUGCGUUGUGCAUUUCUUUUCGGUCGGCCUGGGCCAAAUACGCCGUGGAAUUGUGUUCCCGGGUGGCGAUGUAAUAAAGCCAAGAAGAAAAGGCGCAAUUAUUCGAUAACCUCU